rnacentral:misc_RNA from 1 species
AAGUCGUAACAAGGUUUCCGUAGGUGAACCUGCGGAAGGAUCAUUACCUAGAGUUGUAGGCUUUGCCUGCUAUCUCUUACCCAUGUCUUUUGAGUACCUUCGUUUCCUCGGCGGGUCCGCCCGCCGAUUGGACAACUUAAACCAUUUGCAGUUGCAAUCAGCGUCUGAAAAAACUUAAUAGUUACAACUUUCAACAACGGAUCUCUUGGUUCUG